GGUUCAGGACGAACGCUGGCGGCGUGCUUAACACAUGCAAGUCGAACGAGGAUAUACCAGAGGAGAGCUUCGGCAGGAAUCGGGAAUAUUCGAGUGGCGGACGGGUGAGUAACGCGUGAGCAACCUGUCCCAGACAGGGGGAUAACACUUGGAAACAGGUGCUAAUACCGCAUAAGACCACGGUAUCACAUGGUAGUGGGGUAAAAGGAGCAAUCCGGUUUGGGGUGGGCUCGCGUCCGAUUAGAUAGUUGGUGAGGUAACGGCCCACCAAGUCGACGAUCGGUAGCCGACCUGAGAGGGUGAUCGGCCACAUUGGAACUGAGAGGCGGUCCAAACUCCUACGGGAGGCAGCAGUGGGGAAUAUUGGGCAAUGGGCGAAAGCCUGACCCAGCAACGCCGCGUGAGUGAAGAAGGCCUUCGGGUUGUAAAGCUCUGUUAUAGUUGACGAAGGAAGUGACGGUAGGCUAUAAGGAAGCCCCGGCUAACUACGUGCCAGCCGCAGC
rnacentral:rRNA from 1 species